rnacentral:rRNA from 1 species
UCCGCAGGCGGCCUGACAAGUCUGCUGUUAAAGCGUGGAGCUUAACUCCAUUUCAGCAGUGGAAACUGUCAGGCUUGAGUGUGGUAGGGGCAGAGGGAAUUCCCGGUGUAGCGGUGAAAUGCGUAGAUAUCGGGAAGAACACCAGUGGCGAAAGCGCUCUGCUGGGCCAUCACUGACGCUCAUGGACGAAAGCCAGGGGAGCGAAAG